rnacentral:rRNA from 1 species
UAAGUGAAGAGUUUGAUCCUGGCUCAGAGUGAACGCUGGCGGCAGGCCUAACACAUGCAAGUCGAACGGCAGCACAGAGGAGCUUGCUCCUUGGGUGGCGAGUGGCGGACGGGUGAGGAAUACAUCGGAAUCUGCCUUAUCGUGGGGGAUAACGUAGGGAAACUUACGCUAAUACCGCAUACGACCUACGGGUGAAAGCGGAGGACCUUCGGGCUUCGCGCGAUAAGAUGAGCCGAUGUCGGAUUAGCUAGUUGGCGGGGUAAAGGCCCACCAAGGCUACGAUCCGUAGCUGGUCUGAGAGGAUGAUCAGCCACACUGGAACUGAGACACGGUCCAGACUCCUACGGGAGGCAGCAGUGGGGAAUAUUGGACAAUGGGCGCAAGCCUGAUCCAGCCAUGCCGCGUG